UGCAACUCGCCUGCAUGAAGUUGGAAUUGCUAGUAAUCGCGAAUCAGAAUGUCGCGGUGAAUACGUUCCCGGGCCUUGUACACACCGCCCGUCACACCAUGAGAGCCGAUAACACCCGAAGCCUGUGAGCUAACCGUAAGGGGGCAGCAGUCGAAGGUGGGGUUGGUGAUUGGGGUGAAGUCGUAACAAGGUAGC
rnacentral:rRNA from 1 species